rnacentral:rRNA from 1 species
CUGAGACGCGCAGUCUCGGGUGUCCUGCGCUCACCUUCUUUCUGGGUUUCCGAACCCGGACUGGGGGGCAGAUGCCUGAGACGGGUUACUCCCCGAACUUAAGCAUAUUAGUAGGGGAAGGAAACGAAAGCAAACGCGACGGGCUGAGUAGCGGCGAGCGAAAGGCCCAGUUCUCACGCUGAAUCUCGACCGGCUCUUCGGGGCAGAGGGAGAGAGUUGUGGUGUCCCUAGGGCGCCUCUUCCAGUUGACGGCCUGUGAAGGCCGGCUGAACCGGUAAAAGCCCGGGUGGCUGGGAGGGCGCCUGUUUGGGAGCGAUGAGUAGCAGUGGUUGGUACUGUACUGUGAAUGAGGUGGUGCUUUCCACCUAAAGAAACGUAUGUCU